rnacentral:tRNA from 1 species
GUCCAGGGGCGGGAAUCGAACCCACAACGUUCCGCUUACCGGGCAGAUGUCAUGUCCACUAGGCUACCCUGGA